GAUGAACGCUGGCGGCGUGCCUAAUACAUGCCAGUCGAGCGAACGGAUGAGAAGCUUGCUUCUCUGAUGUUAGCGGCGGACGGGUGAGUAACACGUGGAUAGCCUACCUAUAAGACUGGGAUAACUUCGGGAAACCGGAGCUAAUACCGGAUAAUAUUUUGAACCGCAUGGUUCAAAAGUGAAAGACGGUCUUGCUGUCACUUAUAGAUGGAUCCGCGCUGCAUUAGCUAGUUGGUAAGGUAACGGCUUACCAAGGCAACGAUGCAUAGCCGACCUGAGAGGGUGAUCGGCCACACUGGAACUGAGACACGGUCCAGACUCCUACGGGAGGCAGCAGUAGGGAAUCUUCCGCAAUGGGCGAAAGCCUGACGGAGCAACGCCGCGUGAGUGAUGAAGGUCUUCGGAUCGUAAAACUCUGUUAUUAGGGAAGAACAUAUGUGUAAGUAACUGUGCACAUCUUGACGGUACCUAAUCAGAAAGCCACGGCUAACUACGUG
rnacentral:rRNA from 1 species